GCACCCACGUCUGUCAGCGCGGGGAGAGAGGUUGGAUCUGUAAGAUGAAGCCAAAUGACAACCCAGGCCCGAGAAGAACGUUGCUUAAGGCUGACAAGCAAUUGCCAAAGCCAACCUCUGGGAGCUCUCCAAGAAAGGAUCAAAACCUUGCUGUGAGACUGCAUCCACUGCUGCCAGAAUCUGCAGUUCUGAAGAGCUACCCAUGCAAGAACAAAGGGUUGCAGCUCCUAAGAAAACUGUUUCAUAGCCCUACACAGAGGAACAAAGAAAUACAUACAAAGGAAGCUGUGCCGUACGCCACUCCAGCAGGCCUGGCUGAGGUGUGCUGAAUCCCAGCAGGCUGAGAAGCUCGUGGAGCCCCCAGCAGACAGCAGCACUGGGGCCCCGAGACCAAAGCAGCCCAUCAAAGAUAGGGAUUUCAUACUGAAAGGAAAGUAAUACAUAUAUCACUUAAGGCAUCUAGCUUAAAAUAUUAAAAAGGAGGACAGAACUAUGGAAAGAGGAGUUCUUUUAGAAGAUUGCCUGUGGACUGUAUUUUAAUGUUCUGAAGCUGCUCCCUCCAGCUAUUUUAUACAAUACCCAGUUUUCUCGAGUUUCAGAAGUACUAAUGAUUCAAUGGAUUCAGAAUCACAGAAAGCUCCUGAACUCAGCUUAUGCUUCCCUCCACUGCCUUGAAGUCCUAUUUCCAGCCAGUGUUUUAGAACUAGACAGCUUUGCAACAGGGUAAAAAUCCCUUAGCAGUAUUAACUGUUAACUUCUUUGAAAGGAGUUCAUUUUAAGCCAGAGAAAUUGGAUGUGUGUGACAGAAGUAUUGUCUCUUUUUCUAAGAUCUGGUAGAUUAUUAACCUAAAAGCUUGCUUUAAAACAGCAAUCAUAGUAAUGAAAUGCAGUAUGUCCUUUUGUGUUUAGUAUCAGUUUUUUUGCUCUAUUCUCCAGUAUUUCUGUAGAUAUUUCAUGUGAGUUUUGAUGUUUAAAACUGCAGUUAUUUGAAAUGUCACAAAUACUCAACAGAAAUUGGGUAAGUAGCAAGCCCCAGUCCCUGGUUUAAUAGGGGCAUGGUGCUUUUCUAAUCCUUUUCAGACAUGCAGCCAACAGUUUUUUCUAUAAUGUCAAAACAUGAUAUAAAAAUACCAUUUCAUGCAAAUUUCAACUACCUGUGGCUUCAGGUAGAUGCUGCAUACUCUCUAGCUGUAGAAAUCAUGAUGGUAAAAAGAUGGCUUGCUUUUACGAUGGCAGCAAACAACUGCCAGGGUUUCCACUAUAAAACUUAAACUAGGAAAAUUGUAGAUGUUGCAAAAAUGUAACUGAAAUCAAUAAAGGAGUUCUAUACCU
rnacentral:lncRNA from 7 species